rnacentral:rRNA from 1 species
CAGUCGCCGCGGGAAUACGAAGGGGGCUAGCGUUGUUCGGAAUUACUGGGCGUAAAGCGCACGUAGGCGGAUAUUUAAGUCAGGGGUGAAAUCCCGCAGCUCAACUGCGGAACUGCCUUUGAUACUGGGUAUCUUGAGUAUGGAAGAGGUUAGUGGAAUUGCGAGUGUAGAGGUGAAAUUCGUAGAUAUUCGCAGGAACACCAGUGGCGAAGGCGGCUAACUGGUCCAUAACUGACGCUGAGGUGCGAAAGCGUGGGGAGCAAACAGGAUUAGAUACCCCUGUAGUCCCUGUCUCUUAUAA